rnacentral:rRNA from 1 species
AGAGUUUGAUCCUGGCUCAGGAUGAACGCUGGCGGCGUGCCUAAUACAUGCAAGUCGAGCGAACGGACGAGAAGCUUGCUUCUCUGAUGUUAGCGGCGGACGGGUGAGUAACACGUGGAUAACCUACCUAUAAGACUGGGAUAACUUCGGGAAACCGGAGCUAAUACCGGAUAAUAUUUUGAACCGCAUGGUUCAAAAGUGAAAGACGGUCUUGCUGUCACUUAUAGAUGGAUCCGCGCUGCAUUAGCUAGUUGGUAAGGUAACGGCUUACCAAGGCAACGAUGCAUAGCCGACCUGAGAGGGUGAUCGGCCACACUGGAACUGAGACACGGUCCAGACUCCUACGGGAGGCAGCAGUAGGGAAUCUUCCGCAAUGGGCGAAAGCCUGACGGAGCAACGCCGCGUGAGUGAUGAAGGUCUUCGGAUCGUAAAACUCUGUUAUUAGGGAAGAACAUAUGUGUAAGUAACUGUGCACAUCUUGACGGUACCUAAUCAGAAAGCCACGGCUAACUACGUGCCAGCAGCCGCGGUAAUACGUAGGUGGCAAGCGUUAUCCGGAAUUAUUGGGCGUAAAGCGCGCGUAGGCGGUUUUUUAAGUCUGAUGUGAAAGCCCACGGCUCAACCGUGGAGGGUCAUUGGAAACUGGAAAACUUGAGUGCAGAAGAGGAAAGUGGAAUUCCAUGUGUAGCGGUGAAAUGCGCAGAGAUAUGGAGGAACACCAGUGGCGAAGGCGACUUUCUGGUCUGUAACUGACGCUGAUGUGCGAAAGCGUGGGGAUCAAACAGGAUUAGAUACCCUGGUAGUCCACGCCGUAAACGAUGAGUGCUAAGUGUUAGGGGGUUUCCGCCCCUUAGUGCUGCAGCUAACGCAUUAAGCACUCCGCCUGGGGAGUACGACCGCAAGGUUGAAACUCAAAGGAAUUGACGGGGACCCGCACAAGCGGUGGAGCAUGUGGUUUAA